AUCACGAGGUCAAGAGAUCAAGACCAUCCUGGCCAACAUGCCACGCGAUAAAUUGUGCAUAAGGCUCCCGUGAUCCCUGCAUAACAUGUGGAAAAGUCUGCACUGGAACUCUCUCUUCAGGAAUUGUGCUCCAGACACAUUUGGUGGCUAAGGCAGACUGGUGGAAGUUUCUUUAAAAGGGAAGGAGCAACUCCCAUUCCUCUUUUUCCCUCCUGUUGUUUGGAAUGCAGCUGUGAUGGUUGGACUCUAGCAACCACUUUGGACAAAGAGGUGACAUGGAGAAGGGAAACCACAUGCUGAAGAUAAAGUUAACAAGCUAAGUCACUAAGGCCAUUGUGAAGCUGACAUUACCAGCACUUAACUGUCUGCCUCAAAAAACCUUUUUACAUGAGAAAUAGAAGUCUGUCCUACUUAAGCCACUGCUAUUAUUUGGCUAUAUAUAGCAGAACUUAAUGUGAACUAAUCCACUUGAUCUUCCAGCCUCCCUUGUGGCUGAGGCGAAGUCCUCUGCCCCAGACUCUGUUAAUUGCACACAGUUGUGGAAGACUUCAGUUUUAAAGAAGCAAGCCCUGCUUCUUUGUUUUCUUAUGAGAAGGGCAGAGGUGGAGGGAUCAGGAUUUUGGAGACAGCAGUGGUGAGACUGGUAUCCAGUGCCACAUGUCAUGGGUAGGGGUUCUGGUGUUGGUGCCCAGCAAUGGCUGUGUUGCCUUCUCUAGAAUAAUCCCACAUAUGAUUAGGCAUAUUUCCUGGCUACCCAGGUUCCAAGGCCAACUCCCUGGCCCUCCCGGGGAUUCAGUGAACUACCUGAUAUAGCUAAUAAAUUCUUUUGCUGUUUUAGCAACAAGGAACUCUAAGUGAUAUGCCACCCACCUCAGGUCUAGCAGAAGAUAAAGAUCUUAUCUUUAAUACCUUAGCCUCUAUCCUACCUGCUUUGAAACACUGUCUCAAACCCAAGGUUUCUCCUAAACUUGGGUUUAAUUAACCUUUAUCUCUACUUUUCUGGAUGUGGGAGAGAUGUAACUGGCUACCAAAAUCCAUUGUUCCAUUAUAAUAUGCAUCUAUCCUUGCAACUAGAUAUAGCCACACAACUGAAUCUCACCAAUGGAAUGUGAAUGGUUGUGAUGUGGGCAACUUCGGCCUCACUUGCAUAAUAGGAAGUCGCUUCCUUGGCUUGGGCAAUACAGCUCUAACCAAGGAGAUAAGGAAGCACCCUAAGGAAUGACAGAGGCACGAGAUGGAAGGAGCUCGAGUCCCUGAGUAACUUCAUGGAGCAGGACGGCUUCCCAACAACCUAGAGUCUUCCCUGUAGAACUGUUACACAAAAGGAGAAUAAACUGUUUUCUAUAAGCUGCUGUCUUGGGGUCUCUUUCAGCUUCAUCUUUUUCUGCUAAUACAAGGGUAAUGGGUACAUAUAAGGCAUAGAAGUUGUAAUUAACAACAGAUGAUUACAGAUGAAUGCAGAAGCCGCCAACACAGGCUGCUGUGUUUUCUGAGCACAUCUCAUUUUCUGAUUCUAUUCUGUUAAUAGAAGGGGGAGACGCACUGAACACCGUAUGAGCACUGCCACGAGGCACCGAACAAUCUCACGGUCCAGGACUUCUGCUAGGUACUAGCCACCAUUACAUUAUCCUUUUUGGUGGCUCAGUGUGAGGUAUAUAGGUUAUACUACUUCUGUCUCUGACUUUAGAAUGUAUGUAUGUUUUUAUCUUUUAUAAUUUUGACCACAAUGUUUAGAAAAUCAUUUUCAUUUGCAAUUCUCUUUGUUUACCACAUCUUCCCCCUUUUUAAAGGAUUGAGUUAAUGUUUUUGAUAAUCACAUUUCAAAUCUUAAAUGUAAUAUUUUACCUUUAAUAUAACUAUGCACUUUUAAUUUGAGCUUCUAAAUCAGGAAUCAGAAAACUACCACCACCUGCUGUUUUUUGUUCUGUUUUGGUUGUAUUAUUUUAUAUUGUGGUAAUAUACACAUAACACAAAAUUACCAUCUUAACCGUGUUAACAAUUCACUGACAUUAAAUGCAUUCAUAGUGUUAUGCAACUAUCCCCGCUAUCUAGCUCCAUAACUCCUUUCAUCUUAUAAAACUGGAAUUCUAUACACCUAAAAUAAUAUUUUCCUAUUCUCUCAGCCACUGACAAUCAGCUUCCUACUUUCUCUUUAGAUGUUUUUUGACUAUGUAACAUAAGUGAGAUCAUAAAGUUUUUGUCCUUUUGUGACUGGAUUCUUUCACCUUGCAUUAUGUCCUCAAGGCUCACCCGUGUUGUAGCAUAUGUCAGAAUUUCCUUUCUUUGUGAAGGCUGAAUAAUGCUCCUUUGUAUGUAUACAUGAUAUUUCAUUUAUUCAUUCAUCUGUUGAUGCACACUUGGAUUGCUUCC
rnacentral:lncRNA from 1 species